rnacentral:rRNA from 1 species
CCUACGGGAGGCAGCAGUGGGGAAUAUUCCACAAUGGGGGAAACCCUGAUGCAGCGACGCCGCGUGAGUGAAGAAGUAUUUCGGUACGUAAAGCUCUAUCAGCAGGGAAGAACAUGACGGUACCUGACUAAGAAGCCCCGGCUAACUACGUGCCAGCAGCCGAGGUAAUACGUAGGGGGCAAGCGUUAUCCGGAUUUACUGGGUGUAAAGGGAGCGUAGACGGUAGCGCAAGUCUGGAGUGAAAUCCCAUGGCUUAACCAUGGAACUGCUUUGGAAACUGUGCAGCUAGAGUGCAGGAGAGGUAAGCGGAAUUCCUAGUGUAGCGGUGAAAUGCGUAGAUAUUAGGAGGAACACCAGUGGCGAAGGCGGCUUACUGGACUGUAACUGACGUUGAGGCUCGAAAGCGUGGGGAGCAAACAGGAUUAGAUACCCCAGUAGUC